UACGUAGGGUGCAAGCGUUAAUCGGAAUUACUGGGCGUAAAGCGUGCGCAGGCGGUUCUGUAAGAUAGAUGUGAAAUCCCCGGGCUUAACCUUGGAAUUGCAUUUAUGACUGCAGGACUCGAGUUUGUCAGAGGGGGGUGGAAUUCCAAGUGUAGCAGUGAAAUGCGUAGAUAUUUGGAAGAACACCGAUGGCGAAGGCAGCCCCCUGGGACAUGACUGACGCUCAUGCACGAAAGCGUGGGGAGCAAACAGG
rnacentral:rRNA from 1 species